UUGGAGGGCAAGUCUGGUGCCAGCAGCCGCGGUAGUUCCAGCUCCAAUAGCGUAUAUUAAAGUUGUUGCCGUUAAAAAGCUCGUAGUUGAACCUUGGACCUGGCUGAUCUGUCCUCCUAAUCGAGCGCACGGGUUCGGUCGGGUCUUUCCUUCUGGGGAGCCCUAUGCCCUUCACUGGGUGUAGUGGGGAACCAGGACUCUUACCUUGAAAAAAUUAGAGUGUUCAAAGCAGGCCUUUGCUCGAAUACAUUAGCAUGGAAUAAUAGAAUAGGACAUCGGUUCUAUUUUGUUGGUUUCUAGGACCGCUGUAAUGAUUAAUAGGGAUAGUCGGGGGCGUCAGUAUUCAAUUGUCAGAGGUGAAAUUCUUGGAUUUAUUGAAGACUAACUACUGCGAAAGCAUUCGCCAAGGAUGUUUUCAUUAAUCAGUGAACGAAAGUUAGGGGAUCGAAGACGAUCAGAUACCGUCGUAGUCUUAACCAUAAACUAUGCCGACUAGUGAUCGGACGGUGGUUUUUUUAUGCCCCGUUCGGCGCCUUACGGGAAAC
rnacentral:rRNA from 1 species